UACAGAGGGGGCAAGCGUUAUUCGGAAUUAUUGGGCGUAAAGGGCGCGUAGGCGGCCUGGCAAGUGGAAGGUGAAAUCCCUCGGCUUAACCGAGGAACUGCCCUCCAAACUGCUUGGCUUGAGACCGGGAGAGGUGAGUGGAAUUCCCAAUGUAGCGGUGAAAUGCGUAGAUAUUGGGAGGAACACCAGUGGCGAAGGCGGCUCACUGGACCGGUACUGACGCUGAGGCGCGAAAGCGUGGGGAGCAAACGGG
rnacentral:rRNA from 1 species